rnacentral:rRNA from 1 species
GGCGAGUGACCGGGAUGAGCUCAAAUUUAAAAUCUGGCGUCUUUCAGGCGUCCGAGUUGUAAUCUAUAGAGGCGUUUUCCGCGCCGGACCGCGUCCAAGUCUCUUGGAAUAGAGUAUCAAAGAGGGUGACAAUCCCGUACUUGACGCGACAACCGGUGCUCUGUGAUACGUUCUCAAUGAGUCGAGUUGUUUGGGAAUGCAGCUCUAAAUGGGUGGUAAAUUCCAUCUAAGGCUAAAUAUUGGCGAGAGACCGAUAGCGAACAAGUACCGUGAGGGAAAGAUGAAAAGCACUUUGGAAAGAGAGUUAAACAGCACGUGAAAUUGUUAAAAGGGAAACGAUUGAAGUCAGUCGUGUGAAAGGUAUUCAGCCGUCUCUGGCGGUGUAUUUGCCUUUCACGGGUCAACAUCAGUUUGAUCCGGUAGAAAAAGGCGGGAGGAAGGUGGCACCCUCGGGUGUGUUAUAGCCUCCUGUCAUAUGUGCCGGACCAGACUGAGGAACGCAGCUUGCCGCAAGGCCGGGGUUCGCCCACGUACAAGCUUAGGAUGUUGACAUAAUGGCUUUAAACGACCCGUCUU